GAUGAACGCUGGCGGCGUGCCUAAUACAUGCAAGUCGAGCGAACGGACGAGAAGCUUGCUUCUCUGAUGUUAGCGGCGGACGGGUGAGUAACACGUGGAUAACCUACCUAUAAGACUGGGAUAACUUCGGGAAACCGGAGCUAAUACCGGAUAAUAUUUUGAACCGCAUGGUUCAAAAGUGAAAGACGGUCUUGCUGUCACUUAUAGAUGGAUCCGCGCUGCAUUAGCUAGUUGGUAAGGUAACGGCUUACCAAGGCAACGAUGCAUAGCCGACCUGAGAGGGUGACUGGCCCACCGGGAACUUGGAACCGGCCCAGACCCCCACGGGGGGCAGCCGUAGGGAAUCUUCCGCAAUGGGGGAAAGCCUGAAGGGGCAACGCCGGGGGAGUGAUGAAGGUCUUCGGAUCGUAAAACUCUGUUAUUAGGGAAGAACAUAUGUGUAAGUAAAUGUGCACAUCUUGACGGUACCUAAUCAGAAAGCCACGGCUAACUACGUG
rnacentral:rRNA from 1 species